UUAAGUAAGGUUUCUCAUGCGUUUGAAAGGUAAAUAUUAUCAUGUCAUAGAGUUUGUUGUUUUAAAUAAACAUAGUUGAAUAGCAGCCUUACAUCCUUAUACCUUAUGUACUUCUGAUGUAAGGAAGAAGUUCUUCACAGUAAGGGCAGUGAGGCAUUGGCACAGGCUGCCCAGAGAGGUGGUGGGUGCCCUGUCCUUGGAGGACACUCAAGGUCAGGCAGGAGCAGCAGACCAACCUGAUGUCCCUGAACCUGCCAGGUGAAAAUGACUGCAGCUCAAUGCACUGGUCACAGAGAAACUACUCAACUCUUCUCAGAGUCCCCCUCCCUGCUGCUGCAGUCACCAAGUGGGUGGAAAACGUCCUCAGAGACUUGUCCUGGGGUUGAUGGAAGAAGCUGUUAAAAGUGUGAAGAUCAGAAGCCAGUCUGGGAUGGUUCCUCUGGCCCAACAAAUCUCCAUCAAAACCAGCCAGUGAACUACUUGGCUUUUUCUUUCUUUUUCCUUUUCAGUUUUCCCAACACUCUGAAUCAAGGGUGGGCUGUACUGUCCUACAUUUGUUUCCCUGUCUCAUUUCAGGCUCCUGGGUUUGAAGGAACAGUGUUCCCACAAAAAGUCUGCAGAGGCCAGUGUUUGUUUUUCUAAAUGGUGACUGCUGAAACCUACUACGUUCUUGGCACCGCCUGAUGCGUAAAGUCAACACUAAAGUUCCUGUUGGCUAAAGUCCCUGUCUCAGAGACUGCUCUUUGCCCAUUUAUACCUCCAGUCCGAGUGAGGAGCCCCCGAGAAGCAGUCUGUGGUGGGCCCAUAAGGCACUCUGGGGACUGGGAAGCGUUCAGGCAGUGUUUGGAGGAAAGCAAAGGGAGGCCAUUGGGUAAGCCUUGGUGCCCCAGUGCUGUGAGAAGCCAAGAGUGGUGGCAGUAGAAGAUGUGGGGUUUUCAGCCUGUUGAGGUGCUUGUUUCUCAGAGUUCUUUGGAAGGAGGGGCACCUUGCUGUCAAAAUGUCAGCAGAACACCUGCUGAUAGGGCAGAGAGCAUGGGAUUACAAAAUUAACACAUUGUGCUGCCAGUGAUGGCUUUGCAGGAGAAUCAGCUGAGUCCUAACAGGGAAGUGAUGAAAGAGCAAUGACAAUCAAGCAGGAAAGAAGGACAAUGAGGGAGGCAGACAGAUGGGAAAUCUCCUUGCUUGGACAAAAAUACCAGUGUCAUUGCUCUCUCUUAUCCCAGCUGCAAAAUUUUCCCUUUUCCUUGCAGGAGAUGUGGCAGACAUCCUGCAGGCACACAGGGAGCCCUGCCACUAGCAUUGCAAAGGAGGGUCGAACUUCUUCAUGCUCCAAAAUCCAGACCUUGCGAGGACCGUUGUUGAAGUGCUGGUAGGGGAAGGCUGAUGAUGUGCGGCAAAGCCUGGUGCCAUCUGCCUUCAAUACACGGCAGACUCUUCCUGAUAGCACUGCUGCAUAGCAUCCUGCAGCUGACAACCAAUCUGAGUACCAAGAGUGGAAAAAGAGGUGGCCUGGGACUGCAGCACUGAAGAUCGGCAAUACUCUAUGAGCUCUUCUGCCAACAACAGCCCUGGUUUCUCAGUGCUGCUGCUCCUGGGGAGACACACAAGCUGUUAGCCUGACUUUGGCAACCCAGUGGCUGGAGCAAAGUGCAGUGUUUCUUGGGCUGCAGCCACAUCAUGGUCUGAUUGUGGGUAGUGAUAUCCCUCUGCAGAGGCAAGGCUGCUCAUAUCAGAGGCACUGAGAUCUGUCAGGGAGGUGCUGAGCCAGCAUGGGCACCAGCUGUCUUCUCUGGUGAGAACAGUGUCCAGAGGUACACACAGAAUGCUGAGGCAGAGAAAAACAGCACAGCAAGGAGGAAGGAUGCUGUCAAAUUGCCGCAGUUCUUGCUUCCAUGAGGCCAGUUGCUCUGAGCCAGAGUCUGGAUUCAUGACCCAAAGGAUGCAUGAGGAUCCCUAUUCAGAAAAUGCAAAGGAGAUUGUUCCUGUCACCAACGCUGACAACAUCUCCCUGGGAGACAAGUCUCUGAUGGAUGUGACCCCCUGGUUGGUGCCUCAUGUGAUGUUCCAUCUCCUGCUUCUGCUUCCACCCACGCUCCCCUCUCACAUGUACCAUGCGCUGCUGAGGGUUCUCUCGUGGAAGGCCAGGGGCUCAGCCUCCUCAGCAAGCCAGGUCAGCACUCUCAGGUUUCCAUUUAUUGCCAGUCAUUCAUCACUCACUGCAGUGCUAUUCAUAUGAGGCCAUGACAAAGGUUCAAAAGUCCAUCAGUGGUAAUGGAAAGGCUGAGACUGGCUGGUGGAAAUUAGUCUCAGAAUUUCCAUUGGGCACCAGAUGAAAAAAACUUGUGAUUUUCCUCUGCACUGCAGCAAUGUCUGAAUAGGAGACGAAUAGCAGAUAAGGCCUAAACCUUGCACUUCUGUGUGAAUAAUACUGAACUUCGCCAGCGGCAUGGCAGAGCCAUAUGCAUGGCAGCAACCUAAGGGAGAAAAAGGAAAGGAUAGACUUCUACUGAGAAGCAUCUGAAAGGAUUUCAUCACCAGAUACACUAUUGCUUUCUUCAUGCUUCAUUUCUUCACCAUGAAGAAAAAGGAAAAGAAAAGCACUGAGAGGCUUGGGGCUGAAAAUUCUUUCUGAUUCCUAAGAUAGCU